GCACCCAUAGAGAAGAAGUUAACUCACUCCUCACCCAUUGGCGGAGCGGUUGGAAGGGAGGGGCCCGGGUGCAAGUCCCGGUGGGUGCA